CCACCCACCACAUCCCAUCGACCCCACACUGUGCCCCAUUGACCCCACCCUUAACCCCAUAUCCCCCCCUGCCCCCAUAACCCCAACUGUCCCCCCCUUCCUCCCCCAUCCGGCCCCACAGACCCCAUUGCUGCCCCCCCUUUGGUUCUCACUCACCUGAGCACCCCCUAUAGGUGGGGGUCCGACCCCAUAAGCGCCCCCCGGGAUCCCAUAGGACACAGUGGGGGCCGGGGGGGGGCCGGGCCAGGAGAGAGCGGCAGAUGGGGACGGGAUGGGGGCGCCUGUGGGGAGAGGGGGUGGGGGAUAUGGGAUAUAGGAUAGGGGAUAUAGGAUAUGGGAUAUGGGGUGUGGGAUAUGGGAUGUGGGAUAUGGGGGGUGGGAGGUGGGAUAUGGGAUAUAGGAUAUGGGAUGUGGGAUAUGGGGGGUGGGGUUGGGGUGGGGGAUAUGGGGGUGGGAUAUGGGAUAUGGAGUGUGGGAUAUGGGGUCUAUAGAAUGUAAGAGCUAUAGGAUAUAGGAUCCAUAGGAUAUAGGUCCAUAAGAUAUAGGGGCUAUAGGAUAUAGGGUCCAUAGGAUAUAGGGCUAUAGGAUAUAGGGGCUAUGGGGGCUAUAGGGACCAUAGGGUCUCUAGAGGAUAUAGGGGCUAUAGGACAUGGGCUAUAGGAUAUAGGGUCCAUAGGAUAUAGGGGCUAUAGGAUAUAGGAGCUAUAGGGUCUAUAGGAAAUAGGGUCUGUAGAAAAUAAGGUCUAUAGGAUAUAGGGGCCAUAGGAUAUAGGGUCUAUAGGGUCCAUAGAAUAUAGGGUCUAUAGCAUAUAGGGUCCAUAGGAUAUAGGGGCUAUAGGGUCUAUAGGAAAUAGGGUCUGUAGGAAAUAAGGUCUAUAGGAUAUAGGGGCUAUAGAAUAUAGGAUCUAUAGGAUAUAGGGGCUAUAGGAUAUAGGGGUAUAGGAUAUAGGGGCCAUCGGAUAUAAGGGCUAUAGGGUCGAUAGGAAAUCGGGUCUAUAGGAUGUAUAGGGGCUAUAGGAUAUAGGCUGUAUAGGAUAUAGGGGCUAUAGGAUAUAGGGGCUACAGGAUAUAGGGGUAUAGGAUAUAGGGUCCAUAGGAUAUAGGGUCUAUAGGAUCCAUAGAAUAUAGGGUCUAUAGCAUAUAGGGUCCAUAGGAUAUAGGGGCUAUAGGGUCUAUAGGAAAUAGGGUCUGUAGGAAAUAAGGUCUAUAGGAUAAAGGGGCUAUAGGAUAUAGGGUCCAUAGGAUAUAGGGGCUAUAGGAUAUAGGGGCUAUAGGACACGGGCUAUAAGAUAUAGGGUCUAUAAGAUAUAGGCUGUAUAGGAUAUAGGGGCUAUAGGAUAUAGGAUCUAUAGGAUAUAGGGGAUAUAGGGGCUAUAGGAUAUAGGAUCUAUAGGAUAUAGGGCUAUAGGAUAUAGGGUCCAUAGGAUAUAGGGUCCAUAGGAUAUAGGGGCUAUAGGGUGUUUGGGGUCUAUAGGGCGCAUGGGGUCUCUGGGUGUGCCCACUCACCGCCGCUGUCCCCGUGGCUCCGCCCCC
rnacentral:lncRNA from 1 species